UACCAUUUUCACCAUUUUCUUUUCUUUGUUUUUUAGAGACAGGAUCUCGUUGUGUCACCCAUGCUGAACUGCAGUGGUGGGAUCAUGGCUUACUGCAACCUUGAACUCCUGGGCUCAAGCAGUCCUUCUACCUCAGCCUCCUGGGUAGCUGGGACCACAGGCCCGUGCCCAGCUUCAUUUUCACCAUUUUCAGGAGUUGUGACCAGCUGUGACCUGUGACCGGCUCUGCUGCCCUCACGGAAACCACAAAACACUCUUUCAGUCCUGACAUGGGCAGGAUGGGAGCUGAUUCAGGCCCAGCACUCAGCUUCCUCUCAGUCCGUCUGCCGUCAGAGGGAAAAGAACCGCCAGUGGAAAGGAAGAGGCUCCAUCCCUCUGGCUGCCACACCCAGAUGCUCAGGACAUCCCAAGCAGAGACCUGGUGGGCACAGUGGCUCACACCUGUAAUCCCAGUACUUUGGGAGGCUGAGGUGGAAGGAUCACUUGAGCUCAGGAGUUCCAGACCAGGCCGGACGCGGUGGCACAUCCCUGUAAUCCCAGCACUUUGGGAGGUCAAAGCGGACAGAUCACCUGAGGUGAGGAGUUUGAGACCAGCUUCACCAACAUGGU
rnacentral:lncRNA from 10 species